rnacentral:rRNA from 1 species
GACGUAGGGCGCGAGCGUUGUCCGGAUUUAUUGGGCGUAAAGAGCUCGUAGGCGGCUUGUCGCGUCGACUGUGAAAUCCCGCGGCUCAACUGCGGGUCUGCAGUCGAUACGGGCAGGCUAGAGUUCGGUAGGGGAGACUGGAAUUCCGCGUGUAGUGGUGAAAUGCGUAGAGAUCGGCAGGGAACACCCAGGGGGAAACCAGCCGCCUGGGCAAGCGCUGACGCUGAGGUGCGAGAGCGUGGGGAGCGGAACCGG